rnacentral:rRNA from 1 species
UACGUAGGGUGCGAGCGUUAAUCGGAAUUACUGGGCGUAAAGCGUGCGCAGGCGGUUAUGUAAGUCAGGUGUGAAAUCCCCGGGCUUAACCUGGGAACUGCAUUUGAGACUGCAUAGCUAGAGUACGGUAGAGGGGGAUGGAAUUCCGCGUGUAGCAGUGAAAUGCGUAGAUAUGCGGAGGAACACCGAUGGCGAAGGCAAUCCCCUGGACCUGUACUGACGCUCAUGCACGAAAGCGUGGGGAGCAAACAGG